UAGGGAAUCUUCCGCAAUGGGCGAAAGCCUGACGGAGCAACGCCGCGUGAGUGAUGAAGGUCUUCGGAUCGUAAAACUCUGUUAUUAGGGAAGAACAAAUGUGUAAGUAACUAUGCACGUCUUGACGGUACCUAAUCAGAAAGCCACGGCUAACUACGUGCCAGCAGCCGCGGUAAUACGUAGGUGGCAAGCGUUAUCCGGAAUUAUUGGGCGUAAAGCGCGCGUAGGCGGUUUUUUAAGUCUGAUGUGAAAGCCCACGGCUCAACCGUGCAUGUGCAUUUGAAGCUGGAAAACUUGAGUGCAGAAGUGGAAAGUGGAAUUCCAUGUGUAGCAGUGAAAUGCGCAGAGAUAUGGAGGAACACCAGUGGCGAAGGCGACUUUCUGGUCUGUAACUGACGCUGAUGUGCGAAAGCGUGGGGAUCAAACAGG
rnacentral:rRNA from 1 species